rnacentral:rRNA from 1 species
CCUACGGGUGGCAGCAGUGGGGAAUAUUGGACAAUGGGCGAAAGCCUGAUCCAGCCAUGCCGCGUGUGUGAAGAAGGCCUUCGGGUUGUAAAGCACUUUCAGUGGGGAAGAAAGCCUUGGGGCUAAUACCCUCGAGGAAGGACAUCACCCACAGAAGAAGCACCGGCUAACUCCGUGCCAGCAGCCGCGGUAAUACGGAGGGUGCGAGCGUUAAUCGGAAUUACUGGGCGUAAAGCGCGCGUAGGCGGUCUGAUAAGCCGGUUGCGAAAGCCCCGGGCUCAACCUGGGAACGGCAUCCGGAACUGUCAGGCUAGAGUGCAGGAGAGGAAGGUAGAAUUCCCGGUGUAGCGGUGAAAUGCGUAGAGAUCGGGAGGAAUACCAGUGGCGAAGGCGGCCUUCUGGACUGACACUGACGCUGAGGUGCGAAAGCGUGGGUAGCAAACAGGAUUAGAUACCCUGGUAGUC